AGAGUUUGAUCCUGGCUCAGAACGAACGCUGGCGGCAUGCCUAACACAUGCAAGUCGAACGAGACCUUCGGGUCUAGUGGCGCACGGGUGCGUAACGCGUGGGAAUCUGCCCUUGGGUUCGGAAUAACAGUUAGAAAUGACUGCUAAUACCGGAUGAUGACGUAAGUCCAAAGAUUUAUCGCCCAAGGAUGAGCCCGCGUAGGAUUAGCUAGUUGGUAAGGUAAAAGCUUACCAAGGCGACGAUCCUUAGCUGGUCUGAGAGGAUGAUCAGCCACACUGGGACUGAGACACGGCCCAGACUCCUACGGGAGGCAGCAGUGGGGAAUAUUGGACAAUGGGCGAAAGCCUGAUCCAGCAAUGCCGCGUGAGUGAUGAAGGCCUUAGGGUUGUAAAGCUCUUUUACCCGGGAUGAUAAUGACAGUACCGGGAGAAUA
rnacentral:rRNA from 1 species